GUCCCGUUUUAGAGCGAAAACCUGUCAAGCGCAGCUACUAUAUUCCCCCGCUCUAGAAUUUGCUUUCAGUAAGGACAAGUAACUUAUGGAUCAGAGGCAAAAAGCUCGGAUUCUGGCAUGGCUGAAGGUGACUGAGGAUGAGGAAGAUAUUCCCAACUCAAGUUCCAAUGAUGCAGAUGACAUUCUGGAAGAGCAGGACCAUCAGUCUGAAUCUGAGCAAGAGGAAGAAGUGCCGCCUGAGGCAACUGAGAACGGUCCUGAAUUUUCAUGUGAUGAACCAUUCCGGAGAAGCAUACAGGUGGCUUAUACUUACUGAUGAAAGAAGAAGCAAAAUAAACUGAAGACAAACAACUUUGCUUCAAAAAAACAUCCAAAAUUUUAUUUUAUA